ACAAGCGGUGGAGCAUGUGGUUUAAUUCGAUGAUACGCGAGGAACCGUUACCUGGGCUCAAAUGUAUGUUGACGUAUUCUGAAAGGGAUACUUCUUCGGACAAUAUACAAGGUGCUGCAUGGUUGUCGUCAGCUCGUGCCGUGAGGUGUCGGGUUAAGUCCCAUAACGAGCGCAACCCUAUCAUUAGUUGCCAUCAGGUCAAGCUGGGGACUCUAAUGAAACUGCCUACGCAAGUAGUGAGGAAGGUGGGGAUGACGUCAAAUCAGCACGGCCCUUACGUCCAGGGCUACACACGUGCUACAAUGGCCGGUACAAAGGGCAGCUACCUGGUGACAGGAUGCUAAUCUCAAAAGCCGGUCUCAGUUCGGAUCGGAGUCUGCAACCCGACUCCGUGAAGCUGGAACCGCUAGUAAUCGCGCAUCAGCCAUGGCGCGGUGAAUACGUUCCCGGGCCUU
rnacentral:rRNA from 1 species